UUAAAAAACCACCACCAACAUUGCUUUCAGAGAGAAUUUUUGGCUAAGUCCUAUUCAAACCAAUUUCUUGGCAUGAAAGGUGUAGCCCUAUGGGGUUAGCCAUAUAAAAGGAGUUUGAAUAGAAGGGGACAUGCUCCUUUUCUUCCCAAACAGAAUCACUAUUGGAUGCAACAGUGGCUACACGUCCAUGCUUGACUUACAGAGUCUUUCGAUCAUAUCUCUACCCUAACCCUCCACACCUACCCCAGUCCCCUGCCAUGUGGCAGAAACUUAAUACUCUUUCUUGAUUCCCCAGUUCUGCUUGCUGAGCUGUGGGAUACUGACCUUUUUGGCUGUCUUGGGCCGCUACGUCCCUGGGCUUCUGCUGUCCUACUUGAUGCUUGUCACUGUCAUGAUGUGGCCCCUUGCUGUGUACCACCGACUGUGGGAUCGAGCAUAUGUGCGGCUGAAGCCAGCUCUGCAGCGGCUGGACUUCAGUGUCCGUGGCUACAUGAUGUCCAAGCAGAGAGAGAGACAAU
rnacentral:sRNA from 1 species